CAAGGUUUCCGUAGGUGAACCUGCGGAAGGAUCAUUAUUGAAUAAUCUUGGCGUGGUUGUAGCUGACUCCUUUACCGGAGUAUGUGCACGCUCGUCAUCUUUAUAUCUCCACCUGUGCACCUUUUGUAGACCUGGACAAACUAAAAUGAAUACUUUUCAGAGGCAACUCUGACGGGAGGACUGCUGCGCGUCACUGCCAGCUUUCCUUGCAUUCAUUUGUCUAUGCCUAUGUUUUUUAUAUACCCCAAAGAAUGUAAUAGAAUGUAUCACUAGGCCUUGUGCCUAUAAACUAUAUACAACUUUCAGCAACGGAUCUCUUGGCUCUCGCAUCGAUGAAGAACGCAGCGAAAUGCGAUAAGUAAUGUGAAUUGCAGAAUUCAGUGAAUCAUCGAAUCUUUGAACGCACCUUGCGCUCCUUGGUAUUCCGAGGAGCAUGCCUGUUUGAGUGUCAUUAAAUUCUCAACCUUACCAACUUUGUUGUCUGGUAAAGGCUUGGAUGUGGGGGUUUUGCUGGCUUCGUCAAGAGGUCGGCUCUCCUUAAAUGUAUUAGCUGGUGCCCCGUGUGGAGCGUCCAUUGGUGUGAUAAUUAUCUACGCCGUCGGAUGUCUGCUUUAAAGGGUGUGCGCUGCUUCUAACCGUCUAUUAAGUGGACAA
rnacentral:rRNA from 1 species